rnacentral:rRNA from 1 species
UACGUAGGGGGCCAGCGUUGUCCGGAUUCAUUGGGCGUAAAGCGCGUGUAGGCGGCCAGGUAGGUCCGAUGUGAAAUCUGGAGGCUCAACCUCCAGCGGUCAUUGGAAACCAUCUGGCUAGAGUCCGGAAGAGGAGAGUGGAAUUCCUGGUGUAGCGGUGAAAUGCGUAGAUAUCUGGAGGAACACCGGUGGCGAAGGCGACGUCCUGGACCGGCAUUGACGCUGAGGAUCGAAAGCUAGGGGAGCAAACGGG